rnacentral:misc_RNA from 1 species
UAAUCUAGAAGCCACAAAAAUCUGCAAGUAAAUCAUAGACCGUUAUCAUUUCUUUUCAUAAAAUGUGCAAACCUGAAAUGAAUAAGAAAGAAUAAUUUGAAGAAAAACUGUACUAAAUAUUAUAAUUCUUCUUCCUUAUCAAUCAAAUCAAGAAGUAAUUUGAGACGUGCAGGAUACAUGCCAAAAAAGAAAAGAAAAAAAAGUAAUUUAUUUAUUUUUUAUGUUUUAAUUGAUAGAAAAAAAAAAUUAGGAUAAAAAAUUAUUAAAUUUUUACCAUUAUACACAUAUAGAAUAAAUAAACUUAUAUUAAAAGAACAAUUACUGAAAGGAAAAAGGGCAUAAAGUGAAAACAUAAAAAUAUAUAUAUUCUUUUUCACUCUUUUUUGUCCAAUUUGGAUGAAAAAUAAAAUGACUCAAAAUACUCUUUCAACAUUUUUUACACAAAUCUUCACAAUUUUUAUUAUAUUUUUCUUUUUUUCCUUUGAAUAAAAUAAGGAAAUUGUUUUUUUUUCUUUCGUUGCUAUUUUUCUUUUUUUUUUUUCAAGGUAAAAUAGACCCUAAGGAAUAAUUUUAUUAAUGUUUUUCACAUUACCACUUAAUUUUAAUUUGUAACUUAAUUUAAAAUCGCUGUGUUCAGAAUUUGGCCAAACUUACCAUUAGAAUAUGGUCAUAACGACCUUAUUAUAGUUUGAUCAACUCUUCUAUCUUCUAAUUAUUUUCCUUAUUCUCUUUCUUUAUAAUUUUAAGGUUGAAAAAUAAGAAAAGAGAAAGAAAUUGAUUAAACCAUAUAAGUACAAUAACAAUUUUUUUAUUUAGUUCCAAUUGAUUUUUAAAAUUAAAAUUUUAUAGUUUUGGAAAAGUUAAGUAAGGAAACUAACUCAGACAAUAUACCUCAGGACCGCAAAGGGUAUAUA